AAGAGGUGGAGGUAAGAUAUGAGGAACGGGGAGUCAGUGGAAGAUUUUAAAAGGAAGGUGAAUGAAUUUGCAAAGGAGGCUAGAAUAUCUGAGAAGAAAUUGAGUUUAGAAUAAGAAAGAAGGCAUACCAAAAAGGAUUAAAAGUGGGUAGCAGAGGGAUAAAUUGAUUAGACCGCUUUAAAAAGAAAAGAGCAGGACAGACACAGAUUAUCCUUUGGGGCACCCAUAAACUGAGAGGGCUAAAAAAUACCUUACCCAAUAUUCCUGAUGGAGUAAGAAAUGGAUUAGGGCUUUGGAGGAGGAGAACACUGGACACUUAUUGGCUUUGGGAGAUUUGAAGGCACUGUUGGUGAAAGUGAUAGGAACCACUAAACUGACAGAACUCCGGAAGAUGGCUGAUAUAAAAAUGCUGUGAAUAAUGCAAUAAACAAUGGCAUGCUGUUUGACACAGUCAGGCAGAGGGUAUGGCAGGCCCUCAGACAAUGUUACCCACUUAAGGUGGACCCCAAGGAAUAAAGGGGAGAUCCACUGGGAGAGGCAACUAAUCCAGCAGCCUAUCUGGAGAACCAGCUGAAAAGGUGGAGACUCGAAACUGAACAAGAAAUAGAAGGCAACCAGUUAAUGAACACAAUAUUCUGAACCACUGUGGUGG